ensembl:lncRNA
GGAGGCUGUAGAGUUUCUCAAUGUUCCUCAAACUUUGAUGAGACAUGAAUCACCUGGUGAUUUUGAGUCACUAGGGCUGAAUGGACCCAGGUGAUGGUGAUGCUGCCAUUGGAGGUGGACUAUGCUUUGAGUGGCAAGGGUGUAUUUAGUAGUUCUCAACUCAGGUUGCACGUUAGAAUCAUCUGAAGAGCUUUUAAAAAAUACUGAUGCCUGGGCUAUACUUCUAAUCAUUAUGACUUAAUUGGUCUGUUCUAAAGAGCAAUCAAGAGUACAGAAACAAGAGUGUAGAUGAAGACAGGUGGGGCUAACAGGAUGAAAUUCCAAGGGACCAAAGUCUGGAUAACUUCUUCCCCUGAGGCAGUAGAAGAAUCUGCUGAUGGAGAGACGGCAGAAUUGGAACCACAGGAGAGAACACAGUUGCCAUGAGAUGAGAAGCCCAAGCCACAUGGAAAGGCCACAUGUGGACUUUCUGGUCGAAAAGUAGCCUCAACUGCCAGCCAUGUGACAUUGAUGGUUCAGCCUAAUUGGGUUCCAGAUGACUGCAGCCCCAGCAGCGUCAUAAGAAUGGGAAGACCUGUGCAGCUUGGCCCAGAGUUGUGAGGGGUAUUUAUGACAAUCCACAGAGCAGAGCCCUCACCUUGUGGAGCAUGGUGGUCAACCUCAGUGGCCAGUGGAUGCCAGAUCUCUGUGAUGGGGACAUUGCCUUGAGUGGAUGGGCUCAUCAGGCACUGCAGAAACAAAUGUUAGGGGAUGCUUGGUGCUUCCUACAUGAAUCCUUCGCUUUGUGGUAAUUACGGUUGCUACCUGGAGAAAGAGUAUAGAACACGAGUGUUGGAUUUUUUCCUCCAUGAUUUAAUUCCCUCAAUUUUAUUUGGCAAAUAUGAAGAGACAAUUUUGUUUAUGCCUAUAGUUGGGAGAAUGCAGUGGAACUUUAAGUGUCUUUGGUGGCAAAAUCUUAUAAGGUCACAAAAUGACUAUGUUACUCCAUUCUUGAAAGUUGGAAUACAGUUUAGGUUACUCAUGUUUUCCCUCUGAUGAGUAGCUGGAAAACAGCUGGAAGAGAUGAGACAGAGAAAUGUGCAAAGGUCUGGGGACAGCGUUGGAAGCCUGACCUUCUUUCUGGUGUACAUCAUUAUAUAUUUCAAAUUCUGUGUGGAUUACAUCUUGUUCACCACCCAAAGACUAAUGACAAUCCAUCACCACACAUAUGUGCCUAAUCACUAGUUUCCCUCUCCUGCCUCCCCCUUGCCUCUCUGGUGACCACCAAUCCAAUUGCUGUUGCUAUGUGUUUAUUUGUUGUUGUUUUUAUCUUCUACUUAUAAGUGAGAUCACAUGGUAUUUAACUUUCGCCCUCUGACUUAUUUCACUUAGCAUGAUACCCUCAAGGUCCAUCCAUGUUGUCACAAAUGGCCAGAUUUCAUCAUUUCUUAUAGCUGAGUAGUAUUCCACUGUGUAUACAUACCACUUCUUCUUCAACCUAUGUUGCUUCCAAGUCUUGGCUAUUGUGAAUAAUGCUCCAAUGAAUAUAGAGGUGCAUGUAUCUUUACGCAUUCAUGUUUUCAUGUUCUUUGGAUAACUACCUAGCAGUGGAAUAGCUGGAUCAUAUGGUAGAUCUAGUCUUAAUUUUUUGAGGAAUCUCCAUACUGUUUUCCAUAGUGGCUACACCAGUUUGCACUCCCACCAGCAGUGUAUGAGGGUUCCUUUCUCUCCACGUCCUUCCCAACACUUAUUGUUUCCUGUCUUGUUAAUUAUAGCUAUUCUGAUGGGAGUAGUUUUGACUUGUAGUUUUGUAGUUUGUUUUGUAGUUUGACUUGCGAUUUGUACUAAUCAUUGUCAUUUUGAUUUGCAUUUCCCUGAUAGUUGAUGAUGUUGAACAUCUUUUCAUGUGCCUGUUGGCCAUCUGUAUAUUUUCUUUGGAGAAAUCUCUGUUCAGAUCUUUUGCCCAUUUUUUAAUAGGGUUGUUGGUUUUUUUUUGCUGUUGAGAUGUAUG